rnacentral:rRNA from 1 species
AACGAACGCUGGCGGCAUGCCUAACACAUGCAAGUCGAACGGGAUCCUGGUUUCGGCCAGGUGAGAGUGGCGGACGGGUGAGUAACGCGUGGGAACCUGCCCAGUGGUGGGGGAUAACUGCGGGAAACUGCAGCUAAUACCGCAUGAGCCCGAGAGGGGAAAGAUUUAUCGCCAUUGGAGGGGCCCGCGUUCGAUUAGGUAGUUGGUGGGGUAACGGCCUACCAAGCCGACGAUCGAUAGCUGGUCCGAGAGGAUGAUCAGCCACACUGGGACUGAGAUACGGCCCAGACUCCUACGGGAGGCAGCAGUGGGGAAUAUUGGACAAUGGGGGCAACCCUGAUCCAGCAAUGCCGCGUGAGUGAUGAAGGCCUUCGGGUUGUAAACCUCUUUUAGCAGGGAAGAAGCGAAAGUGACGGUACCUGCAGAAAAAGCACCGGCUACUACGUGCCAGCCGCCGCGGUAAGAC